ensembl:lncRNA
GGGUGAUGAAAUAGUGAGAUGUGAUUAUUGUACUUGCCUUUGAGUCAUGGUAUUGAAAUUAAGACUUGAAAACUUCAAAAGCACCUAUAAGUAGAAGAACAGUUAUUGCAUUAACACAAUAGGAAAUCAUUCUGAUGUUUGCUUCUCUUUUAAACAAUGUUGGUACUAUGUUGGUAAUGGUUGGUACUACAUUGGUAUUGACAUUCACAACUCCCUGUUUCUAUUGCAGAACUCAAUACAGGACUCUAUACAUGUAACUACAAACUGCUUGUCAUCAGCACUGAGUGAUUUCCACAGUCUUCAUGUCCUCCAUUUUGGCUCUGUACAUUGUCCAUGUGUCCCGGUGCCGUGCCGUUAGUGGACCCCUGCCCCAGGGGCGGGAAACUGACAUUACGCUCCAGUUCUGGGUUCAGACAGAGGAAAGUCUGGUUCUUAUCUUUAUUAUUGCUGUUGUUACUAGUAGUGGUGGUGACUACCGACUCGCUAAAGAUAGUGUCUGAGAAGACAGAGUCUAGGUUGAACGGGGUGCCACCGAAGAGGGAUUCCUGGCAGGUGGAUUUUGGCCGAUCGGUGGCUACCUCUGGGUCUCCUGGGGUUUGCUUGGUGGUGGUGGUUGAUUUUCAGUGUCUGGUUCUUCCAGAUUGUUCUGCUUGUUCUGCUGGCUCAUUGCGGUGAUCUCCUUUGAGACAUGACUGAGUCAUGGUAUUGAAAUUGAAACCUGAAAUGUUGUGCUGGCUACAUCAUGUAGAUGCUCUGUUACAUCAUCAGCAGUGAGUGGACAACUCAGGAAAAACGACUGGCUCCACUCUGCAGCCUCUGGGAUGUUCAUAUAUAUCACAGUACAAUGUUACCUGAACAAAUACUCUACUACACAUGUGUGUGGAGCCUCAGUCAUAUACCAUUGAAUUGGCAGAAAGUAUUGAGCCUUCGUCAAAAAUACUAGUAUUUUCUGAUUGUUCUUGGUGAAUGUCAGUUUUGUUUGAUAAGUAACAGACAAUAGGACUCAAGCGUAUAUCAAAUUGUCCUUCUGUUUGUCUAACCAACAUAUAAUGCCGAAAGCCAGAGCCGUGUAUUGUAAUAGAAGACUGCCUGUACAUUUCUUUAAAUUCUCUAUUCGUAGCAUCCUUUUCUGAGAGCUCUAUUUCACUCAAUAGUCGAAUAUGGUGAUUUAAAAAAAAAAGUUUUCUGAAUGCUUUGUACACAUGUGCAAGUGUGUGUACAAGGCACUGAACUGGAGAGAUAGGGCAGAAUGACUAUAGGCGCGGGUACGCCUACACUGCCCAGGUGAGGAAAAGUGCAGGGCUGAGGACACUCAUUUCUGUGACAGUGCGCACGUCCCGCGCUUUUACGCACGGUCUCUUUGCAGUAAUGCAUAAACGUUGUUAUGGUGUUAUGACACUAGCUUACUCUAUAUUUUAUAAUCAAUUAAACAUAAGAAAUUAAACUGGUUUACAUUUUGUUGAUGGCUAUAGCUUGUGGUAAAGCGAAUUAGAAUUCCAUUCUGAUUCGAAACAAUGUGCAAUGACGUGUUCCAUCUCUAUGCGACCGAGAGGGUCACAAUGCCGACGCUUCACAUGGAACUUCAGAACCCAAGAGAUAUGUCCAGAACUCUCAAUAAAUCGUCAGUUCUUGAUCGACAAACAACGAGAGAGACAGCAUUAUUAUGGCAAGCUUUUCAUUCAUCUUCCCUGAAGACAGACGUUGUUCCAUUAAGGAGAACGAAGUCAAUUCAGGUAUGAACAAUAACAUACAUUUCCGUCUUUAAAUACAAAUAUUAAUUGAAGGUGUAAUUCCUACUGGAAAGGGAAAAAAAACAACAUAGAAGAUACGGCUUUAGGGGUUUGUUGUUAGUUACCAAACAAUGUAACCAUGCGAAUUGAAGUUUUCCAGCUGACAAUGGUUUUAUUUUGGCCAAUGAAAAUACUUUAUGUCCCAAUUAUCUCUCCUUCCACCCAAAAUGUGCACUUGUUCACUUCCCUUUACUGAUUUGAAAGGAAAUGACUGGUAUAUUAAAUAUGGCUAAAACUCGACCUAGCCCCUACUAGGCAAUGUUUUUAGAUUUGUGGGAAGUGGUGAAUGAGUGCACACUUCAGCAGAAAUGAGAUGUUAUUGGGAUGCAUGAAGAAUAUGAAGAAUAUCCCUUGCUUGUAAUGCUGAAAUCAGUUUAGUUAACCCUGUGUUGGUGUUUCUUUCAGGGUGGAUGUCAACGGUGACCCAACUCAACGCCCUUGGUGGUCCAGAGUCAGAGAGUCAGAACAUUGUUCAGAGCUUUGCAGAGGUACUUGGUGACAAGUACCACUACGUGAAUGCCAUCGACAGCUCUCUACUCUGGACUGUUGGGUACACCCCCUACAUUCCCCCAGCUCUGAAAGGAAGAAGCUUCCCUUCUGUCGAGAGCUUCUUCCUGGAUGAGUGGGAGCCACUGACACUCCUGCAGACUCCUCAGGUUCUGUCCACCAGUGUUUCCAUCGAGGAAGACAACCUGAUCCAGUCUGCUGCAGGCCUAGUGUCUCAGGUUCUGUCCACCAGUGUUGCCAUCGUGGAGAAUGAACUGAUCCAGUCUGCUGCAGGCCUAGUGUCUCAGGUUCUGUCCACCAGUGUUUCCAUCGUGGAGAAUGACCUGAUCCAGUCUGCUGCAGGCCUAGUGUCUCAGGUUCUGUCCACCAGUGUUUCCAUCGUGGAGAAUGACCUGAUCCAGUCUGCUGCAGGCCUAGUGUCUCAGGUUCUGUCCACCAGUGUUACCAUCGUGGAGAAUGACCUGAUCCAGUCUGCUGCAGGCCUAGAGUCUCAGGUUCUGUCCACCAGUGUUUCCAUCGUGGAGAAUGACCUGAUCCAGUCUGCUGCAGGCCUAGUGUCUCAGGUUCUGUCCACCAUUGUUUCCACCGAGGAAGACAACCUGAUCCAGUCUGCUGCAGGCCUAGUGUCUCAGGUUCUGUCCACCAGUGUUACCAUUGUGGAGAAUGACCUGAUCCAGUCUGCUGCAGGCCUAGUGUCUCAGGUUCUGUCCACCAGUGUUACCAUCGUGGAGAAUGACCUGAUCCAGUCUGCUGCAGGCCUAGAGUCUCAGGUUCUGUCCACCAGUGUUUCCAUCGUGGAGAAUGACCUGAUCCAGUCUGCUGCAGGCCUAGUGUCUCAGGUUCUGUCCAGCAGUGACGCUAGAGUGAAGGAUCGUGAUGAUUCCACACUGAGAGACUCCAACCAACCUGAGGUCCAUGUGGCUGAUGUCUCAACCAAGAGAAGUAGACUAGUCAUCACUAUUUCUAUGUUUUCAACCGAGAGUGGCAAUGCUUCGGUCCAUGAAGUUGAUGCUAUUGCUACCAGCCUGGAGCACUCUUCUGAGAAAAUGUCGACCUCUACCGCUGAUGGCCACAUUGUUUCAUCCACUGCUGUAGCCAAUCAGAAGAAAACAAGGGGUGGAUUCCUCUCAUCUCUACGGAGACUGUUCACAAGAAAGAACAGGAUGCCUGCUAAAGUGGCUUCCAAGAAGGAGCACGUUCACUUGGUUGACCGCCUCAAUGCUGAAGUCACCCACUGAGGACACUCACUCACUGCUGAAGGCAUCCAGAAUGAUGCUUCUGUUUCUCCUCAACGCCACCUACACCCCUGCCCCUCUCCCCCACACCAAACCCUACCAGGGUUGAGGUGAAUUCCAGAUCAAUUCAGUCAAUUCAGCAAGUCAACUGAAAUUCCAAUUCCAAUUGUUUCUCAUAGGAGGCAAUGAGGUAAAUUUGAAUUGCUAUUGGAAUUUCAGUUUACUUACUGAAUUGACUGAAUUGAAAAUGAAUUGACCCCAACCCUGAUCCCCAAGCCCCCACCCCAUCCAUUUCUAUCUUCAGUAAAUUUUGUAGAAUUUUAUUUGAAGUUGUUUUGGAUCUUCAUUAAAACCACAAUACAUCUCUAAUGAGGGUCAGUCAUGUUACACAUCUAGAUUUAUCAUCAAAUAUUGUAGAAUUCAACAACAAAUGCAGUGGUUUAGCAGUUCAACUUCAGUACUUGUCAAUGAGUCACUGCACUGUGACCUUCAGAAACAUGUAACAUUGUGGAGAAACUGAAAAUUUUGCUGACAUUCGGUUACAAUGUAACUACACUGAACAAAAAUAUUAGCGCAACAUGUAAAGUGUUGGUCCCAUGUUUCAUGAGCUGAAAUAAAAUCCUAGAAGUGUUCCAUAUGUACAAAAAGGUUAUUUCUCUCAAAUGUUGUGUUUACAUCCCUGUUAGUGAGCAUUUCUCCUUUGCCAAGAUAAUCCAUCCACCUGCCAGGUGUGGCAUAUCAAGAAGCCAAUUAAACUGCAUGAUCAUUACACAGGUGCAUCUUGUAUUGGGGAAAAGAAGAGGCCACUUUAAAAUGAGCAGUUUUGUCACACAACACAAUGCCACAGAUGUCGGAAGUUUUGAGGGAGCGUGCAAUUGGCAUGCUGACUGCGGAAAUGUUCACCAGAGCCGUUGCUAGAGAAGUCAAUGUUCAUUUCUUUACCAUAAACUGUUUCCAAUGUGGUUUUAGCAAAUUUCGCAGACCACACCAGGGGCUGAGGAGUAUUUCUGUCUGUAAUAAAGCCCAUUUGUAGGGAAAAACUCAUUCUGAUUGGCUGGGCCUAGCUCCCCAGUGGGUGGGUCUGGCUGCCAGGUGGGUGGGCCUAUGCCAUCCAAGGCCCUCCCAUGGCAGCACCCCUGCCCAGGACCUAAUGAAUUUAUUUCAAUUGUUUUAUUUCCUUCUGUGAACUGCACCUCAGUAAAAUCUUUCAAAUUGUU